CUUGAAACUCUUAAUUGCAUAAUUACAUCGCUUUUUCUUAUUCAUGUAUAUGCUCAACAACAUUUCCUUGUGGAGCUUCACGAUACUCGACCCGAUCAGAAAGUUUCAUCCUAACAUUGUGUACAAUGAUACUGUAAACACCGAGAAACCAGCUGAUUCUCCGUCAUUCCAGAAUGAUACAAGGGGCACACCGCACGACGUCUGGAAGGUCAGCGAAUCUUCCAGAAUAGUCAGCCGCGUAUUUAAGGAGCUGCGUCGCCGCUGGGAGUCAGUUGACAGUUCAGUAAGGUGAAGUUCGAAAUAUUGGCGCGAGAUUUAAAUCAGGCAUAAAUAGUUGUCGUAGUCGUGAGAGAUGGUGUUUUCGUAUUGUAAGUGUGUACAUAAAUUUGUUGACUAUU